rnacentral:lncRNA from 1 species
AUGAGAUCCAGUCAUUCCUUUAUCACACAGAUCAGCCAUACUGGUCUUCAGAAAAGUCUGCAGGCUGGCUUAUCAUCUAGCUCACCAUCAGAGAUCCAUGUCCUUUCAGAAUCCAUGUCCUCCAUGUCCUCUGAGAAUACAGCCUCUGGAUUAGUGGAAACCUUUGUCAAAGGAAUGGCGACUAUUUUCCAGAAAAAUGAGUCCACUGACACUGUGCUACUGGAAAGAAGUGGGAGAGUUUCGCAGUGCUCCCACGGGGGCUCCCAACUGGAUGAUACUGAAUUGAGUGUUAAAAUAUCAGAGGAGAAGCUUUGGUCAACAGCUAAGACCAUCUGCGUCAGUAUGAAGAACACACUUAAGGAUUUCUUCACAGGGCUGAAGCCACCCGGAUCCGAAAGGACAGAAAAUGCUUCUUCCAAAGAGACCCUUGGGGAAAUCCUGGUUGCUAUCCAGAGUGAAAUCUCAAACUUAGGGCGAAUGAAGGAUUCCAGGGAGCUCCUUCAGAUCAAUGAUGUGGUAGGAACUAUGCUGAAGGAGGUUGAGAAAAGUGAGGAUGACAGUGAACAAGUCUGCCAAGACAUCCCUAGAACCUGUUCAUCUUUGUCCACUUCUUUAAAUGGUCGUAGUUCCUUGUCCAGCUCUUCAAAGAGUCCUAGGUCAGAGUGUGAGUUAGAGAUCAACCUCCCUGGCACUCCCAUCCCUGACGAAGUGCCUUUUGAUCUGACCUGCCCCAUCGUCAGGAGCUCCUGCAUCGACACCAGGGUCUCUAAAAUGCCAGAGAUUUCUUCAAGUGACCUAAAGACAAAGAUGAUGGCACACACAGAUGAACCCCUGCAUCGUAACAGUCCAAUGACUGACAGCAGUCGACCACCGAGUGCUAAAGCCUCUUUUCGAUCCUCCACUCCGUCUUUCACCAGCAAGGGAACCUCUUUGGUACCAAAGGGAGAUGGGAUUGACAUUGAAGAGAAGGAGGAGUGUAUCCCCAGUAGCUCUGGCCAUCUGAGGGAGCUCUUAAUCACCCCGGACAUCAGCAGUGCCUCUGCAUUCCCACUGCAGUACUUGAUGGACUCCAGCAAAGAUGAUGUCAUCUGUUUGGUCGCCAUACUGGUGAUAAGGUUGCUAUCGGAGAUCAGACCCUCAACCCUAGAUGGACCCUCCCAACAGGCAGCAGACGUGACAGCAACAUCUCAGCAACUCAUCAGACAAGUCCUGUCUGAGUUCUGUGCUGCAUCUAGAUUCUCCAGGACACAGGCAUAUUCCCAGAACCUGAACAUCCAAAGGGUGUUCAGAGGUGUACAUAAAAACCUCAUGGAGGAGUUUGGCUCUUAUAACACCCUGCAAGCAGCUAUUUCCUCCCAGGACCCUGCAUUUGACAGAGUCCUGGUAAAGUCCUUGACCCAGCAGCUGGUACAGGGAUGCAAGGAGGCGUCAAGACCAGCUUCUGCUGCAACAAACCCAUCAGACCAGGCUGAGACAGAGAGGGGGGCUGAGCAGAAAGCAAGAAGGAGCUUCCUUUGCUUUUCAAUGACCAAACUCAGGAUCAACUUCAAGCGUUCCAAGAGAGGAAACAAAAAGGACUGCCAUUCAGUCCAGGAACAGACUGAGAUUCCCUCUACUGAUGGACAUUGCAUAGCUCCAGUUGGAGAGGUUUCUCCCUCCAUAUCUCAGCCUGUCAAAAAACGAUCCUUGAUUGUCAGGGUCUUUUCAGCAAUGAUGAAGCCAUUCAGGCGCUUCACCAAGAAGAACCUGUAACCUGUUACGCUGCAUGAGGAACUACUUUUGUAACAGCAAGACUUUUGACAAGAGGAAUUUCUGCAUGUCUACCCUUUCAAAGUAUAUUUGAUCAAAUAAAUGGCAAUGAUUUUACAAGAAUUUCAAGUGUUUUGGAAGAUUAGUAAAACUGAAGCAGCUUUUCUCAGAGAA